AUAAAUAUGCUCAAGUUCAAGACACUAUAAAUCCUAAACUAAACUAAGACCAUACCUACAUAGCCCACAUAGAUAGAGAUAUUGUAAUACAGCCACAUCAUCAAAUUAUAACAUGGGUGGUUGUUCGCGUGUGAUUGUGGUCGUGUUCAUGCUCGUCCUUGUGGUCUCUCCAUCACCAUCACAUGCCAGGGCUGUGCCAAACGAUGAUCAUCAGUAUGUAGGCAGAAGCAGCGGUACUACUACUACUACUACUCCUCCUCCACCGUCGGCGCCGGCGGCGACAGGCGGCGGCGCCGCCGCCGGGCGCAGCCGAGCACUUUGGUCGACGCCAAGCGUCGGCGUCGGUCAUUAGUGAUCACUAGCUUGCAUGCAUGCCGCCGGCGACCAUCCUAGCUGAUCUCUGAAAUAAUAUAUUCCUGGCAUAGUACUAUGCGUGCUAGCUGCGUUACAUUUAUUGAUCAUUAUGUUCAUGAAAUAUGUUUGAUCUAAUUAACUAGCU
rnacentral:lncRNA from 1 species